rnacentral:rRNA from 1 species
AUUGAACGCUAGCGGCAUGCUUUACACAUGCAAGUCGAACGGCAGCGCGGGCUUCGGUCUGGCGGCGAGUGGCGAACGGGUGAGUAAUGCAUCGGAAUGUGCCCAGUAGUGGGGGAUAGCGUGGGGAAAGGCGGAUUAAUACCGCAUACGACCUGAGGGUGAAAGAGGGGGAUCGAAAGGCCUCGCGCUAUUGGAGCGGCCGAUGUCGGAUUAGCUAGUUGGUGGGGUAAAGGCUUACCAAGGCGACGAUCCGUAGCUGGUCUGAGAGGACGACCAGCCACACUGGGACUGAGACACGGCCCAGACUCCUACGGGAGGCAGCAGUGGGGAAUUUUGGACAAUGGGGGCAACCCUGAUCCAGCCAUGCCGCGUGCGGGAAGAAGGCCUUCGGAUUGUAAACCGCUUUUGUUCGGGAAGAAAUCCUCUGGGCUAAUACCCCGGGGGGAUGACGUUACCGGAAGAAUAAGCACCGGCUAACUACGUG